rnacentral:rRNA from 1 species
AGUGAACGCUGGCGGUAGGCCUAACACAUGCAAGUCGAACGGCAGCACAGUAAGAGCUUGCUCUUACGGGUGGCGAGUGGCGGACGGGUGAGGAAUACAUCGGAAUCUACUUUUUCGUGGGGGAUAACGUAGGGAAACUUACGCUAAUACCGCAUACGACCUACGGGUGAAAGCAGGGGAUCUUCGGACCUUGCGCGAUUGAAUGAGCCGAUGUCGGAUUAGCUAGUUGGCGGGGUAAAGGCCCACCAAGGCGACGAUCCGUAGCUGGUCUGAGAGGAUGAUCAGCCAAACUGGAACUGGAACACGGUCCAGACUCCUACGGGAGGCAGCAGUGGGGAAUAUUGGACAAUGGGCGCAAGCCUGAUCCAGCCAUACCGCGUGGGUGAAGAAGGCCUUCGGGUUGUAAAGCCCUUUUGUUGGGAAAGAAAAGCAGCAGGUUAAUACCCCGCUGUUCUGACGGUACCCAAAGAAUAAGCACCGGCUAACUUCGUG